ACCGCUAUCGAUAUGAUUGUUUACUGUGUCGCUAUGAAGAGGUCCUGUUUAUCACAAUGCAUCUACAGAAAGAGCAAAAUAUCAUCUUUCGUUUUUUCUAUGUCUGCUGAUUUAUACAGUUAGGUCUACACUAGACGCUCUGACCAAUUAAUGGACGAGAAUAUGAAAAGGCGUCACAUCUGGACGAAUAUGGCUACGAUGGACAGCUUGGCUGUUUUGUUCUUGAUGUAUUCGAUGUGUUGUACAGGUUUGGUAGAUGGAUUGACCAUAACACUGAACAAGAAUGCAGUAAGGAACAGUGAUCUACAGAUACUUAUAACUACCAGCAGCAUCUCUUCAGCAGUUUUCUUAACGAAGCCUGGUGGAUCAUCAAAUAAUUGUGCAGCACCAAUUCUGAGACCAGGAUCAUGCACUACAUCAGACCUUUCUCAGGAUUUAACUACCGGUGUAACAACAUUCAACAUAUCGUCACUUGUAAGAUCAACAGAUGAAGGUACAUGGACUGCUUCACAUGGAGUCUCUGAUACCAACACCAUAGACAUCAAAG